rnacentral:rRNA from 1 species
GGUGAACGCUGGCGGUAGGCCUAACACAUGCAAGUCGAACGGCAGCACAGUAAGAGCUUGCUCUUACGGGUGGCGAGUGGCGGACGGGUGAGGAAUACAUCGGAAUCUACUUUUUCGUGGGGGAUAACGUAGGGAAACUUACGCUAAUACCGCAUACGACCUACGGGUGAAAGCAGGGGAUCUUCGGACCUUGCGCGAUUGAAUGAGCCGAUGUCGGAUUAGCUAGUUGGCGGGGUAAAGGCCCACCAAGGCGACGAUCCGUAGCUGGUCUGAGAGGAUGAUCAGCCACACUGGAACUGAGACACGGUCCAGACUCCUACGGGAGGCAGCAGUGGGGAAUAUUGGACAAUGGGCGCAAGCCUGAUCCAGCCAUACCGCGUGGGUGAAGAAGGCCUUCGGGUUGUAAAGCCCUUUUGUUGGGAAAGAAAGGCAGCAGGUUAAUACCCCGCUGUUCUGACGGUACCCAAAGAAUAAGCACCGGCUAACUUCGUG